AUCUUGAGCAAUAUAGAAUGAUGCAUAAGGCCUGUCAAAGGCUUAGUAAAAACAUCUGCGAGCUGAGAUGUAGUAGGAACGUGAUGCAAUGCAAUAAGGCCCUCAUGAAGCUUGGUUCCGAUGAAGUGGUAAUCCACAUCAAUGUGUUUGGUCCGCUCAUGAAACACAGGAUUCUUGGCAAUGUGGAGUGAUGCCUGAUUAUCACACAAAGCAGGCACAACAGUGGUAACAAGAACACCAAAAUUACACAGUAGUCGAACAAGCAAGGCGAGCUCACCAACAACUUUACUCAUGGCCCUGUACUCAGCCUCAGCAGAUGACAGAGACACCAUAGGCUGUUUCUUUGCCGUCCAACCAAUAUGAGAGCCACCCAAUAGAAUGCAAAAAUCAGAGACAGAUCUCCUAGUGUCUGGGCAGCAAGCCCAGUCACUAUCACAAUAGGAAGAUAAGGAGAGAUCAGUGGUGUAGUUGAUGAAGACCCCAACUUCAGAAGAUCCUCUAAGAUAUCUGAGUGUAUGCAAAGCUGCAUGCAUGUGAGAGGAAGUAGGCUUCUGAAGAUAUUGACUAAGAUGUUGUACAGCAUAGGCCAAAUCAGGUCUAGUGUGAGUGAGGAAAUUGAGCUUCCCCACCAGGCUUCUAUUGGAUUCAGGAGAGGGAAGAGGAUCUCUUUCAUCCAUGGCUAAAUCAGGUCUAGUGUAAGUGAGGAAAUUGAGCUUCCCCACCAGGCUUCUAUAGGAUUUAGGAGAGGGAAUAGGAUCUCCUUCAUCCAUUUUGAGCUUGACAAAAAGGUCAAGUGGACAAGUAACAGGAGCAAAAUCUUCACAGUGAUAUGCCUUGAGAAGGUCAGUAACAAAUUUCUUCUGUGAAGGAGCAGCCCAUCAGAGUGGUAACUGACCUCAAUUCCAAGAAAAUAGUUGAGAACUCCCAAGUCCUUGAUUUUAAACUCAAGGUCUAGAAAGCUCUUCAAGGCCGUAAUUUCCUCCAAAUCAUUACCAGUGAGAAUAAUAUCAUCAACAUAGAGAGCCAACAAUACAAUAGAAAAGGCAGAUUUCUUAAGAAAAAGGGAAUAAUCAUUGAAAUAAGAAGAAUAGCCCCUAGAACAUAAGGCUUGAGAAGCUUGGCAUACCACUGCCUAGAAGCUUGUCUCAAACCAUAUAAGGAUUUCUGAAGAAGGCAAACCAGAGGAGAAGAAGAGGAAGCAUAGUUGACAGUCAGCCCAUGAGGCAAUCUCAUAUAAACCUCUUCAUCCAAAUCACCAUGUAAAAAAGCAUUGUUCACAUCAAGUUGAAAAAGAGACCAAUUCUGCAUAACAGCCACAUCAAUGAGGGACUUAAUAGUGAAAAAUUUGACAACAGGAGAGAAAGCUUCAGUGAAAUCCACACCCUCAACUUGGGUGUCACCCCUAACAACCAAUCUACUUUUAUAUCUCUCCACAGACCCAUCAGCCCUAUACUUGAUCUUAUAGACCCAUUUGCAACCAGUAGGUCUUUUGCCAGGAGGAAGUUGAACUAUAGAGCAAGUAUGAUUAGCUUCCAAGGCUGCAAACUCCUUUGUCAUUGCCUCCUGCCAUGCAGGGAGAGAGGUAGCCUGCUGAUAAGAGGUAGGCUCUACCUCUGCACUAUUAACCAAACUUUGAAGGCAAGUGGAAGAAGAAUUGGGCCCAGAGAGAGAUGGAGGGAGAUUACAGACACACUAUUGGAGAUGAGCAGGAGGAGCAUGAGUCCUGUUGGACCUUCUGGGAGCAGGGUCUGCAGGCACAGAAGGAGAUUGGUAUAGGGAAGAAGGAGAUGAGGAAGGAGAAGGAAGAGGUUCAUAAGUGGAAGAAGGUGAGGAGUUGAACAAGGAAUCAUCAGUAUGAGGAAGCCAAACAGGAGAGGGGUUAAGAGUAGGAGAAGGAACAGGGAGGGUAUUCCCUGAAGAAGCAAAGGAAAAGACAGAUUCAUGGAAGACCACAUCCUUGGAUACUAGGGUAAGUUUAGUCUUCAAGUUAUACAACUUGUAGCCCUUUUUACCUAAUGGAUAUCCUAGAAACAUACAAGGAUCAGCUAUGGGUUGAAAUUUAUCCCUAUUCUGUUUGGGAACUGAGGCAAAACAAAGACAACCAAAUGUUUUAAGAUGGCCAUAAGAAGUAACAUGUCCAAAAAGCAGCUCAAAAGGCGAUAUAUUGUUAAGAAGUUUGGAAGGAAAUCUAUUUAUGAGGUAGGUUGCAGUAAGCACACUAUCUCUCCAGAAUCUAAGGAGUAGUUGGGAAUGAAAAAGUAAGGCUUUUGAGGUUUCUAGAAGAUAUCUAUGUUUUCUUUCAACCACACCAUUUUGUUGUAGUGCGUGAUAACAGGAAGUUUGGUGUAUUAUUCCAUUUUCAGAAACGAAAUUGCUGCCAGAACCACUAGACCCAAGUUCAAAUGCAUUGUCACUUCUAAUAGUUUGUACAAUAGACUGAAAUUUGGUUUUGAUCAUGGCAAUGAAAGCUUUGAUAAGGGGAAAGGCAUUGCUCUUGGACCCCAUAAGGUGAGUCCAAGUAGCUCUAGUAAAGUCAUCAACUAUUGUUAGGAAAUAUUUACAUCCAUUAUGAGUAGGUGUGGCAUAAGGACCCCAGGUAUGCACAUCGAUGAGUUGAAAAGCAUGUGUUGUAUUAAUGGAACAGUCAUGAAAAGGCAAUCUAGAUUGUCUGGAUAAUGGGCAAACAGUACAUAUGAAGGGUUGUUUAGUUGAAAAUUUGCAUGGUAUAUGAGGGAUGUCAUUCAUCCUAACAAAAGGUAUGUGCCCUAGUCUAUUAUGCCAUAACAUCUCCAUUUUAUUCAAUUCAGAAUGGUAUGUACAAUAAGAGGAAGAAACAGAAUCAACAGCUAAUGGAGACUGGUAUUUACAAGGAGCAUGAGAUUGAAGAGAAGAAGAAGAAGAUUGCACAAGCCUGUAAAGUCCAUCAUCCAAUUACCAAUUUCCAGUGGCCUCUUCAGAGAAGGGGCAUGUAUC
rnacentral:lncRNA from 1 species